rnacentral:lncRNA from 10 species
CCCAGAGGCGCACAGGAGACCUCAGGCCCAGACUCCACUCCCCAGCUGUGAAAGGACUGCUGGCCAGACCCCCAAGCUAGCCCGCCAGGCCUCCAUAGAGCUGCCCAGCAUGGCUGCAUCCAGUACCAAGAGUUGGUGGGAGACGGGUGAGGUACAGGCUCAGUCUGCGGCCAAGACUCCGUCCUGCAAGGAUAUUGUGGCUGGAGACAUGAGCAAGAAAAGCCUCUGGGAGCAGAAGGGAGGCUCCAAGACCUCAUCAACAAUUAAG